AUUGAACGCUGGCGGCAGGCCUAACACAUGCAAGUCGAACGAGUGGCGGACGGUUGAGUAAUGUCUGGGAACCUGCCUGAUGGUGGGGGAUAACUACUGGAAACGGUAGCUAAUACCGCAUACCAUCAGCUGUGCCCAGAUGGGAGUAGCUUGUUGGUGGGGUAACGGAUCACCAAGUCGACGAUCCCGAGCUGGUCUGAGAGGAGGACCAGCAAGACUGUAACUGAGACACGGUCACGACUCCUACGGGAGGCAUCAGUGGGGAAUAUUGCACAAUGGGCGCAAGCCUGAUGAAGCCAUGCCGCGUGUAUGAAGAAGGCCUUCGGGUUGUAAAGUACUUUCAGCGGGAAGGCGUUACCCGCAGAAGAAGCACAGGCUAAAUCCGUGCCAGCAGCCGCGGUGAUUC
rnacentral:rRNA from 1 species